rnacentral:rRNA from 1 species
UACAGAGGGUGCGAGCGUUAGUCGGAAUUACUGGGCGUAAAGCGUGCGCAGGCGGUUUUGUAAGUCUGUCGUGAAAUCCCCGGGCUCAACCUGGGAAUUGCGAUGGAGACUGCAAGGCUAGAAUCUGGCAGAGGGGGGUAGAAUUCCACGUGUAGCAGUGAAAUGCGUAGAGAUGUGGAGGAACACCGAUGGCGAAGGCAGCCCCCUGGGUCAAGAUUGACGCUCAUGCACGAAAGCGUGGGGAGCAAACAGG